rnacentral:ncRNA from 1 species
GGUCAAGUGACUAAGCGUACACGGUGGAUGCCUUGGCAGUCAGAGGCGAUGAAGGACGUGGUAAUCUGCGAUAAGCGUUGGCGAGUUGAUAAACAAGCUUUGACCCAACGAUUUCCGAAUGGGGAAACCCACCGGCAUAAGCCGGUAUCCUUUACCUGAAUACAUAGGGUUUAGGAGGCGAACCCGGGGAACUGAAACAUCUAAGUACCCGGAGGAAAAGAAAUCAACCGAGAUUCCCCUAGUAGCGGCGAGCGAACGGGGACCAGCCCUUAAGCAAUUUUGGUGUUAGUGGAACACUCUGGAAAGUGUGGCCAUAGUGGGUGAUAGCCCCGUACACGAAAACACCUUUAUUGUGAAAUCGAGUAGGACGGCACACGUGAAAUGUUGUCUGAACAUGGGGGGACCAUCCUCCAAGGCUAAAUACUACUGACUGACCGAUAGUGAACCAGUACCGUGAGGGAAAGGCGAAAAGAACCCCGUUGAGGGGAGUGAAAUAGAACCUGAAACCGUGUACGUACAAGCAGUGGGAGCCUACUUGCUCUUUAUUGAGCGAUGGGUGACUGCGUACCUUUUGUAUAAUGGGUCAGCGA